rnacentral:rRNA from 1 species
UACGUAGGGUGCGAGCGUUGUCCGGAAUUAUUGGGCGUAAAGGGCUCGUAGGCGGUUUGUCGCGUCGGGAGUGAAAACCAGGUGCUUAACACCUGGCUUGCUUUCGAUACGGGCAGACUAGAGGUAUUCAGGGGAGAACGGAAUUCCUGGUGUAGCGGUGAAAUGCGCAGAUAUCAGGAGGAACACCAAUUGCGAAGGCAGCUCGCUGGAACGUAACUGACGCUGAGACGCGAAAGCGUGGGGAGCAAACAGG